GGAUUUGAUCCUGGUCCAGGAUGAACGCUGGCGGCGUGGAUAAGGCAUGCAAGUCGCGCGGAUUAGUUUGCGAUUACAUCAAGAAUUAAUUAGCGGCGAACGGGUUAGUAACACCUUAGAACAUACCUCAAAGUCGGGGAUAGCUUAUCGAAAGAUAAGGUAAUACCCGAUGGUCCCGAAAGGGUAAAGCCGAAAGGCGCUUUGAGAUUGGCUUAGGUCUGAUCAGCUAGUUGGUGAGGUAAUGGCUCACCAAGGCUAUGACCAGUAGGGGGGCUGAGAGGCUGAUCCCCAACGAUAGCACUGAGACACGGGCUAUACUCCUACGGGAGGCAGCAGUCGAGAAUAUUCCACAAUGGGCGAAAGCCUGAUGGAGCGACGCCGCGUGCAGGAAGACGCCCUUCGGGGUGUAAACUGCUUUUCUAUAAGAAAAACUUUUGUGAUUGUAUUAUGGGAAUAAGGGGCUGCAAACUUCGUGCCAGCAGCCGCGGUAAUACGAAGGCCCCAAGCGUUAUCCGGAUUUAUUGGGCGUAAAGCGUGCGUAGGAGGUUUAGUAAGUCUGUUGUUAAAUUUCGCUGCUUAACGGCGGAGCCGCAACAGAUACUACUAGACUAGAGUGUGUGAGAGGCUAAUAGAACUUACGGUGUAGGGGUGAAAUCCGUUGAUAUCGUAGGGAAUACCAAAGGCGAAGGCAUUUAGCUAGCGCAUUACUGACUCUAAGGCACGAAAGCGUGGGGAGCAAAAAGGAUUAGAUACCCUUGUAGUCCACGCCCUAAACUAUGUCGACUAGCUAUUUCGAGUAUCGACCCUCGGAGUGGCGAAGCUAACGCGUUAAGUCGACCGCCUGGGAAGUACGGCCGCAAGGCUAAAACUCAAAGGAAUAGACGGGGACUCGCACAAGCGGUGGAGCAUGAGGUUCAAUUCGACAAUAAACGAAAAACCUUACCAGGGUUAGAAAUCCAGACGAAAACUUUCCGAAAGGAUUGUUGUCUCUCAAGGACGGCUGGACAGGUGCUGCAUGGUUGUCGUCAGCUCGUGUUUUGAAAUGUUCCCUUAAGUGGGGUAACGAGCGCAACCCUUAUCCUAUGUUUUAGAUGUCAUAGGAAACUGCCCUCUUUUUGGGGGAGGAAGGCGGGGAUGACGUCAAAUCCGCAUGGCCCUCUGAUACCCUGGGCUACACUCUGCUACAAUGGCUAUUACAAAGGGUUGCCAAACCGUAAGGUGGAGCUAAUCCCAGAAAAAUAGCCUCAGUUCAGUUUGAGGGCUGCAACUCGCCCUCAUGAAGCCGGAAUCGCUAGUAAUCGUGGGUCAGCUAUACCACGGUGAAUACGUUCUCGAGUCCUGUACUCACCGCCCGUCACUUCAGGGGAGCCGGGGAUACCUAAAGCUUCGCUUCGCGCGGAGUUAGGGUAGAAUCGGUGACAUGGAAGAAGUCGUAACAAGGCA
rnacentral:rRNA from 1 species